rnacentral:rRNA from 1 species
ACGGAAGGCAGCAGUGGGGAAUAUUGGGCAAUGGGCGAAAGCCUGACCCAGCGACGUCGCGUGAAGGAAGAAGGCCCUCGGGUUGUAAACUUCAGUCAGCAGGGAAGAAACAAAUGACGGUACCUGUGGAGGAAGCCACGGCUAACUACGUGCCAGCAGCCGCGGUAAUACGUAGGUGGCGAGCGUUAUCCGGAUUUACUGGGUGUAAAGGGUGUGCAGGCGGGUUUGCAAGUCAGAUGUGAAAAUUAUGGGCUUAACUCAUAACUUGCAUUUGAAACUGCAGAUCUUGAGUGUCGGAGAGGUAGAUGGAAUUCCCAGUGUAGCGGUGAAAUGCGUAGAUAUUGGGAGGAACACCAGUGGCGAAGGCGGUCUACUGGACAAUUACUGACGCUGAGACACGAAAGUGUGGGGAGCAAACAGGAUUAGAUACCCUGGUA